UACGUAGGUGGCAAGCGUUGUCCGGAAUUAUUGGGCGUAAAGCGCGCGCAGGCGGUCCUUUAAGUCUGAUGUGAAAGCCCACGGCUCAACCGUGGAGGGUCAUUGGAAACUGGGGGACUUGAGUGCAGGAGAGGAGAGUGGAAUUCCACGUGUAGCGGUGAAAUGCGUAGAGAUGUAGAGGAACACCAGUGGCGAAGGCGACUCUUUGGCCUGUAACUGACGCUGAGGCGCGAAAGCGUGGGGAGCAAACAGG
rnacentral:rRNA from 1 species